UACGUAGGAGGCAAGCGUUUGUCCGGAUUUACUGGGCGUAAAGAGCGCGCAGGCGGUCGUUCAAGUCGCGUGUGAAAGCCCCCGGUUCAACUGGGGAGGGUCACGCGAUACUGAUCGACUCGAAGGCAGGAGAGGGAAGUGGAAUUCCCGGUGUAGUGGUGAAAUGCGUAGAUAUCGGGAGGAACACCAGUGGCGAAGGCGACUUCCUGGCCUGUUCUUGACGCUGAGGCGCGAAAGCUAGGGGAGCAAACGGG
rnacentral:rRNA from 1 species